rnacentral:lncRNA from 1 species
UUUUAUUAAUUUUAGUUGAGAAAGUUUCUCUCUCCAAUCCUUCUCUCUUACUCCUACUGUAUUUAAUUAUAAAGUGAGUGCAUUUGUUUCUAAAUUUUUCUAGAACCUCUAUCACUUUCUUUCGUGGUUGUCUUUUCUUCUUCUUCUUCUCCUCCUCCUCCUUCUCCUCCUCCUACUUUUCCGCCUUUUUUGUUUGUUUGUUUUCUUCUUCUCUUUUUAUUCUAUAUAAGCAGAACUAAUCCCCCCUCACUCCUCAGAAAAUAUAGAGCUUUCUGAAGAAAGUUAUGGUACUUCUUAAAAUAAAUUUCCAGACAAGAAAAUACUAAUGGAAGAAGCUAAAUUUGUAAACAACGAUCUGGCUUAUUUUAAAGUCUUUUUAUUUGGGUUUUAUUGCUGGGAUUGGGAAUUCCUCACUGCCCUUUUGCUUUUUAGUUGCUCUAUCUAAAUCUUCUUCUUUUGGUUUUUUUUAACCGUCUCUAGAGUUUGGAAUCAUUAGUAUAGAGCUAGAAACAAUAUUUCUUUUUUAACUUUUACUUUGGGCUGGUAAAACUUUUGGUCUUCUGUGGGUGUGGGGAGAGAGAGGGGUAAGUAAAAUAAAAAUAUGUCGCAGAGAUCGGUGCCGGCGCCGUUUCUGAUGAAGACGUAUCAGCUGGUGGACGAUGGGAGCACGGACGACGUCGUUUCUUGGAACGAAAGUGGAGAAACAUUCAUCGUGUGGAAAACAGCUGAUUUUGCAAAGGACUUGCUACCUACUUAUUUCAAGCACAACAAUUUUUCCAGCUUCGUCCGUCAACUUAACACCUAUGUACGUAUUUUAAUCUUCCUUUGCAGUAACUUCUUUAUCAAAAAGUGGUAAAUUCGUUUUAGAAAAAUUCAACUUUAUAUACAUAUAGCAGCAGCUGCAUAACAUAAUUACCCUUCUAUUGGAAUUUUUUAUAUAUAAUUAUAUUCUUUCUUAAAAUAAAGAUAGUUAAAUUUUUUUAGUACCUGUUAAUUUUUUAUUUUUACAAAUAAAGGUUAAUUGCUACUAAUUAAUACCUUGUCAAGUUGUUAUAAGAUGCAAAGGUGCGUUGCCACGGGCUAGCUCAAGGUGUGAUUAUGAAUUAUGGGUUUUAAAUAAAUGUUAAUAUUAAUUAUUGAAAAGCUAGCGUUAUGAUAUUAAAAAACUAAUUUAAAUAUUAGUGUGGUAGAAUUAGUGUGUUAAUACUUUUGGCAUUAAUUGUUGGUAGAAUUAGUGUGGUAGAGCUUUAUUAAUUAGGGAAUUGAUAUUUUUGGGAAAAGAAGGUUAUACUUUUACAAGGUUUCUCACGUGAAUAUUAAUUGAGUCAACACACUAAUGCGAGACACCCUGUGAAUAUAUCAAAUUAUAUUUUUGAAAAAAUAACAAAUUAAUUUAUUUUCUCGUGUCUUAUAAAUUAAUUUUUUUAAACAAUCUCUUGAAUUUCAUUGUUUUAUAUAAAUUAAUACCUAUUUUAUUAGUUUAGAGUCUAGUCUGGACAAUAAGCAUAAACGGGAAUAGGGGGACGAGGCCAGGGGAACCUAGGAGAUGACUCAAUGAAAGAAACCCGAUUUAGGUGGUGGCUAAAAUGGUCUUUUUCAGUCUUAAGUUGGUGCAAAAACUAACCCAGUCCAGUCCUCCAGCUGUUUGGCAGGGGGUCCCGGUUAAAUCUAUGCGAGUAGGUGUCAUAAAUAGCUGCUGCAGAAUAAUCCUUGUCCNNNNNNNNNNNNNNNNNNNNNNNNNNNNNNNNNNNNNNNNNNNNNNNNNNNNNNNNNNNNNNNNNNNNNNNNNNNNNNNNNNNNNNNNNNNNNNNNNNNNAAUAGAAAGAAAAUGGUAGGUAUUAGGUGAGAAUUUGACUACUCCUCCUCCUCCUCUAGUUCUUUAAUUUCUUCAACAAAGUUGAACACCACGCGUCCAAAUUAUCCAAAUCCAACCCAUGGAAAUAUGUUCGAAUCUUCCUACCCAUAAACCCCAUUCAUAUUCACCCCUCCCCCUUUUUUUUUUUGGAAAGAAUGCUUCAAUGUUGACUUUUUAUUAAGCGGGAAAUUACCAAGUGAUGUCCCUCUACUUUAUUUCCCUACCUACAUUAGACUAGUUAAACAUCAUUCUAUGUAUUCAAAAUUUAAAUUUUAAAAGGAUGGUAUUGAUAUUUUAUUUUUAAUUUGAUUCAUUAAACAAAAUAUAGUUAUAUUAUUUAAUAUUUUUACUUUCACCUAAAAUGAUAAUGACCAUGUUCAAAUGUAAUUAAUUGAUAAUUUACUAAACUCAUGUAUUUUGUCACAAAAUUAAUAUUUUUACAAAAAAAAAUGAUAUUAAUUAGAACAAUAUUUUUAUUUCAUAAUUAAUAAGUGGGUCUUACAUUUACAUUUAUGUGAGAGAUUUUAAAAGAAUAUCAAUAUUUACUUAUAAAAUAACAACUCCCUUUUUAUUAAUAUAAUAUACAACUAUUAGUACAAACAUAAAUAUCACACCAUUUUAGUUUCAAAAUUAAAAUUAACAUAAUUUUUUUUANNNNNNNNNNNNNNNNNNNNNNNNNNNNNNNNNNNNNNNNNNNNNNNNNNNNNNNNNNNNNNNNNNNNNNNNNNNNNNNNNNNNNNNNNNNNNNNNNNNNUAGUUGCUCUAUCUAAAUCUUCUUCUUUUGGUUUUUUUUAACCGUCUCUAGAGUUUGGAAUCAUUAGUAUAGAGCUAGAAACAAUAUUUCUUUUUUAACUUUUACUUUGGGCUGGUAAAACUUUUGGUCUUCUGUGGGUGUGGGGAGAGAGAGGGGUAAGUAAAAUAAAAAUAUGUCGCAGAGAUCGGUGCCGGCGCCGUUUCUGAUGAAGACGUAUCAGCUGGUGGACGAUGGGAGCACGGACGACGUCGUUUCUUGGAACGAAAGUGGAGAAACAUUCAUCGUGUGGAAAACAGCUGAUUUUGCAAAGGACUUGCUACCUACUUAUUUCAAGCACAACAAUUUUUCCAGCUUCGUCCGUCAACUUAACACCUAUGUACGUAUUUUAAUCUUCCUUUGCAGUAACUUCUUUAUCAAAAAGUGGUAAAUUCGUUUUAGAAAAAUUCAACUUUAUAUACAUAUAGCAGCAGCUGCAUAACAUAAUUACCCUUCUAUUGGAAUUUUUUAUAUAUAAUUAUAUUCUUUCUUAAAAUAAAGAUAGUUAAAUUUUUUUAGUACCUGUUAAUUUUUUAUUUUUACAAAUAAAGGUUAAUUGCUACUAAUUAAUACCUUGUCAAGUUGUUAUAAGAUGCAAAGGUGCGUUGCCACGGGCUAGCUCAAGGUGUGAUUAUGAAUUAUGGGUUUUAAAUAAAUGUUAAUAUUAAUUAUUGAAAAGCUAGCGUUAUGAUAUUAAAAAACUAAUUUAAAUAUUAGUGUGGUAGAAUUAGUGUGUUAAUACUUUUGGCAUUAAUUGUUGGUAGAAUUAGUGUGGUAGAGCUUUAUUAAUUAGGGAAUUGAUAUUUUUGGGAAAAGAAGGUUAUACUUUUACAAGGUUUCUCACGUGAAUAUUAAUUGAGUCAACACACUAAUGCGAGACACCCUGUGAAUAUAUCAAAUUAUAUUUUUGAAAAAAUAACAAAUUAAUUUAUUUUCUCGUGUCUUAUAAAUUAAUUUUUUUAAACAAUCUCUUGAAUUUCAUUGUUUUAUAUAAAUUAAUACCUAUUUUAUUAGUUUAGAGUCUAGUCUGGACAAUAAGCAUAAACGGGAAUAGGGGGACGAGGCCAGGGGAACCUAGGAGAUGACUCAAUGAAAGAAACCCGAUUUAGGUGGUGGCUAAAAUGGUCUUUUUCAGUCUUAAGUUGGUGCAAAAACUAACCCAGUCCAGUCCUCCAGCUGUUUGGCAGGGGGUCCCGGUUAAAUCUAUGCGAGUAGGUGUCAUAAAUAGCUGCUGCAGAAUAAUCCUUGUCCAUUAUUUACCGUCAUUAGUUUGAAUUUGAGAGUAGCGUUACUAGCGUUGAUAAUUACUCCAUGACAAGCUAAUAGUGUAUGCGUGAAUGAGAAAGUCAAAUGAAAGGACAUGCUCAAAAAAAUAAAAAUAAUCCUUGUACUACGUUUUAAAUAAUUUUAUUUUUUUAAAUUAUUUGAUAUUUUAUUUAAUUUAGGAGAAUUAAUCACAAUCUUUUUAAAAUUAUUCAUUAUGAGAAAAGAUUAUAGAUGAUAGAGAAAGAGCUCUAUGAUAAAGAGUAUUAUAUAUAGAUAAUAAUUAAUAUUAUAUUUAAUGAUAUACAAUCAUUUCCUUAAUUAUUAUGUACAACUCUAAAACGACAUAUAUUGAGAGACGGAGAGUGCAUAUGCCGUUUUAAAAUUGUGCACAAGAAUUAAAAAAAUAAUUAUAUAACAUUAAAUAUAAUAUCAAUUGUCUAUAACUCUCUAAAUUUUGAUAAUUAUCAUACUUAUCUCAUACUCACCCUCACAUUUUUUUCAUAAGAGAUAAUUUGAAAAAAAUUAUAAUUUAUUUUUUAAAAUUAUAUAAUACGAUAAAUAAUUAAAAAAAAUAUAUCUAAAACAAUAAAACACGUAUUAAGUGACGAAUGGAGUACAAAAGCAUAUAUGUUGACAAAUCUGGCUAGGAAGUUAGUUGGAUGGGUAAAACUUUAAUCGAUACAAUAGAAUAAUACUAAAAUUGAGUGUGAUUUUUUGACUACGAUCUUCUCUAUUUUAAAUAAACGAAGAUUCUAUAUUUUACAGUCUAGAUUUAAAAUCAUGUCUCCGGUCAGCAGCAUGAUCUCAUAUUUUAACAUAUUUUAAAUUUGAAUCGUAAAAUGAGGAGUCUCUAUUUAUUUGAACAACAAUGAUACUAUCAUAUAAAAAAAAAUUGCACACAUACAUAUUGUGGGCUCCACCUGAUAUUAUGUGAUUUUUUUUAUGUGAUAGUAUCAUUAUUUUUAUUUGAAAUAGAGAGGAUACGUGUCUUUUUUUACAAGUCGGACAAAUGAUCGAGAGAUCAAAUAUUAAUAGUCGUGAUAUUAUUUCUCUUGAAAAACAAUACUUGUUCAGCUAAAUAGUAGGUGCUAAUAUGAGUCUACAUUGUUGAAAUUGAGGAUGUUCAACUUAAAAGUCAUCUAAAAAUAGUCUGGGUGUCUUAUAAUUCCAAUAUCUUUCAAAGUACUUCCAAUGGAGUAGUAAGAACUAAUGGCUGGUCAAUUUUGCAG